rnacentral:lncRNA from 1 species
GGUGUGCUCUCAUGGCAACUGGCCGAGGAGGCACCCCUCUGCGCAGAAGUAAAAUUGUUUGGCUAGGAAUUCUUUGUUCGAGUGUUCAAUUUCCUUAGGAUUUGAGCGAUAUUUCUAACACUGGGGUUACAGGCGUGCACCACCAUGCCCGGCUAAUUUUUGUAUUUUUAGUAGAGACGGAGUUUCGCCAUGAUGGCCAGGCUGGUCUCAUGAUGGUCACUCCUGGCCUCAAGUGAUCUGCCAGCCUCAGCCUCCCAAAGUGCUGGGAUUACAGGCCUGGCAACUGCACCCGGCCUCCAUUUGUAUAUUUCAAAACAUCCUUUGAAAUAAUAGGCAGUAGUAAGUAAACUGUUUUCCUGGGUUCUGUUAGCCACUACUGCCAAUUAUUGAACCUGAGGAGGAAGUCAAAGGAACCUCCAAUUUUUAGCCAAGUUGGACAGAAGCUGUGGGCAAUCUGGAGACCUCUACUUGUGAUUGGCAUCUGAAGUGGGGGGCAGUCUUAUGAGACUGAGCCCUUAACCUAUGGGAUCUGACACUAUUUCCAGGUCAGGCUGCUAUCACAGGACAUCCUGAGGAAGCAGCUCGGAAGCCUUCCCGAGGAGAGUGGGAAGAUCCCGUGAGCAAGCAGGCACGUGUGGCUGUGGGAUUGGGUGAAGAACUGCACUCUGACUCAGCUUCCCAUCUUCAUGGCCCAGGAGCAAAUUCCUCAGGAUCCUGAAAGAGGUAUCAGAUGAUGAUGACGAUGAUGAUGAUGAUGAUGAUGAUGAUGAUGAUGAUGAUGAUGAUGGUGAUCAUAUCCAGAGAGAAGCAAAGUGAAUGUGUACCAUUGUGUCUUGAAUCCAGCUUGGCCAUAAGGAAAUGGGGCGAGACUUUGUCAUGUAUGUCGCUGAAGUUCAGCUAUGCAAAAAUGUUCACCUAUCCUUGAUCAACCAGUCCAGGAACCAUCAAAGAAGAAAAUGAGAUUCGACUUAGAAGACCUGUUCUUUAUAAACCCCUGCACAGCCCUAAUGAUCAACACCACUUCCAGUGCUCAUAAAUUACUGCUUCAAUAAUUGUUCUGCAAUUCUGCCUAUUCUCAUUGAAUGCUUCGUAUAAUCCCUUUAUUUACUUUGGGCUACGAUUCAUUUUUAUCAGUCAAAUGACUACUAGACUAUCCUGGUUUCUAAUUUGAAAUGUAUCCAAAGAAGAUUCCUGUCUCACCCUCUGCAAUCCACUUGCAUGUCUGACCACACUCGGUGCCUACACAAUCUUCACUUUGUCUAGCCUAAAUUCUUCUAACUGUGGCCUAAGGCCUUGGAAGAAUGAUGCCUCUGUGGGGUAAGAACUGCCUUCGUGGCAUAAGAAAGGCAGACCUGGGUGAUCUGGAAGGGCUGUUGCAAGGGGAUAGGAGUGCUGAGGCCUUUUCCAUUAAGAAUACACAGGACUAUGGAGACUCUUGUUUUACUAGAAACUUCUUCACAGAUACCUUAAAUUAGGAAGAAAAUGCCUUUGGUUCUUGGUUCUACUAUUGGCUUCAAAUUCUUAGGCAUGCCAGACCCUACUGAACAUCUUGACACAUGUCCUUUCUUCUCUGAACUGGCGCACAGGCAUGGUGAGUAACU